rnacentral:rRNA from 1 species
UGGGGGAUAUUGCACAAUGGGCGAAAGCCUGAUGCAGCGACGCCGCGUGAGGGAAGACGGUUUUCGGAUUGUAAACCUCUGUCUUCGGGGACGAAAAUGACGGUACCCGAGGAGGAAGCCACGGCUAACUACGUGCCAGCAGCCGCGGUAAUACGUAGGUGGCAAGCGUUGUCCGGAAUUACUGGGUGUAAAGGGAGAGUAGGCGGGAUUGCAAGUCCGUUGUUAAAUCUAUCGGCUUAACCGGUAGCUGCGGCGGAAACUGUAGUUCUUGAGUGAAGUAGAGGCAGGCGGAAUUCCUAGUGUAGCGGUGAAAUGCGUAGAUAUUAGGAGGAACACCAGUGGCGAAGGCGGCCUGCUGGGCUUUAACUGACGCUGAGGCUCGAAAGUGUGGGGAGCAAACAGGAUUAGAUACCCUGGUAGU